rnacentral:tRNA from 1 species
GGAGGGACUGUGGCUCAGUGGAAGAGCCUUUGCUUUGCAUGCAGAAAGUCUCAGGUUCAAUCCCCAGUAUCUCCA